AGUCGACGGGAAGCUCCCUUCGGGGAGUGAGUAUAGUGGCGAACGGGUGAGUAACGCGUGGGAAACCUGCCCUUUGGUGGGGGAUAACAGUCCUAACGGGCUGCUAAUACCGCAUACGACCUUCUGGACUCCUGUCCGGGGGGAGAAAGGUGGCCUCUUCAUGAAAGCUGCCGCUGAAGGAUGGUCCCGCGUCCCAUUAGCUUGUUGGUGGGGUAAUGGCCUACCAAGGCGACGAUGGGUAGCCGGCCUGAGAGGGUGUCCGGCCACACUGGGACUGAGAUACGGCCCAGACUCCUACGGGAGGCAGCAGUCGAGAAGCUUCGGCAAUGGGCGAAAGCCUGACCGAGCGACGCCGCGUGAGCGAUGAAGGUCUUAUAGAUUGUAAAGCUCUGUCAGAUUGGGAAGAAAACUCCGGGAUUAAUACCCCCGGAGCUUGACGGUACCAUCAGAGGAAGCACCGGCUAACUCCGUGCCAGCAGCCGCGGUAAUACGGAGGGUGCAAGCGUUGUUCGGAUUCACUGGGUAUAAAGGGUGCGCAGGCGGCCUGAUAAGUCAGGGGUGAAAUAUGUCGGCUCAACCGGCAAACUGCCUCUGAAACUGUUAGGCUUGAGUCCGGGAGAGGAAGGUGGAAUUCCUGGUGU
rnacentral:rRNA from 1 species